rnacentral:rRNA from 1 species
AACAAACGCUGGCGGCGUGCCUAAUACAUGCAAGUCGAACGGGGAAAGCUUUCGGGUGAGUACUAGUGGCGCACGGGUGAGUAACGCGUGGAUAAUCUGCCUUAGAGUGGGGGAUAACUAGUCGAAAGAUUAGCUAAUACCGCAUAAGACCACAGGAACCGAGGUUCUAGAGGUCAAAGGUUUUUCGCUCUAAGAUGAGUCCGCGUAAGAUUAGUUAGUUGGUGAGGUAACGGCUCACCAAGGCAACGAUCUUUAACUGGUCUGAGAGGCUGAUCAGUCACACUGGAACUGAGACACGGUCCAGACUCCUACGGGAGGCAGCAGUAGGGAAUAUUGCACAAUGGAGGAAACUCUGAUGCAGCGACGCCGCGUGAGUGAUGAAGGCCUUCGGGUCGUAAAGCUCUGUCGCAGGGGAAUAACACAAUGAAUGUACCCUGUAAGAAAGGAUCGGCUAACUUCGUGCCAGCCGCCGCCGUAAAAC